rnacentral:rRNA from 1 species
GACGAACGCUGGCGGCGUGCUUAACACAUGCAAGUCGAACGGAAAGGCCCUGCUUUUGUGGGGUGCUCGAGUGGCGAACGGGUGAGUAACACGUGAGUAACCUGCCCUUGACUUUGGGAUAACUUCAGGAAACUGGGGCUAAUACCGGAUAGGAGCUCCUGCUGCAUGGUGGGGGUUGGAAAGUUUCGGCGGUUGGGGAUGGACUCGCGGCUUAUCAGCUUGUUGGUGGGGUAGUGGCUUACCAAGGCUUUGACGGGUAGCCGGCCCGAGAGGGUGACCGGCCACAUUGGGACUGAGAUAUGGCCCAGACUCCUACGGGAGGCAGCAGUGGGGAAUAUUGCACAAUGGGCGGAAGCCUGAUGCAGCAACGCCGCGUGCGGGAUGACGGCCUUCGGGUUGUAAACCGCUUUCGCCUGUGACGAAGCGUGAGUGACGGUAAUGGGUAAAGAAGCACCGGCUAACUACGUG